CUUUCACUUUCACAAUGCAACUUUCAAUGCAACUUUCACAACUGUACAUCCAAUUUUUAUUACAACAGAGUGAGGUCUUGUGGCUGCCAUUAUCAGAGGUAUUUUCUGUACAGCUACAUAUUAAACUUUUGUGAAAGUAACCAAAACCCAUUAGUCACUAGCAUAUUUCUUACUACUGUACUGGCCAAGGAUUACUUCAAUACUUAUUUUAAUGGAUUGCUCAGCUAUGAACGAUUUUAAGGUUAGAGGUCUUGCAAGAGCCCUUUUAUAAGCUUUCUGAAAUCUAAUCUAUCACUAAUUUCCAUAUGUCUCACACAGUACUAGGCUAAUGUAAUGCAUCACCACAUAAAUCCAUCCCUGAGAAAAUUAUCCUGUGUAUUACAAAAAUUCAAAGCAUUGUUCUUAACUACGUGUGCUUUUUUCAGAUGUCUCACUAGUUGAGACAUAAGCUUAGUGUGUUAAAGAUUUUUUUUCCUUAAUGAUAGCUGGAAUAGGAAGACGACACCUGGCAGUUUAGAUUUUGCAUGUCAGCAAAUGUCACAGACAGAAGUGGCUUUUUUAAUGACACCUCUUAAUAGAGAACAACUACCUUCCUCCUCUUGUAUCCCCAGACUGAAUUUUUGGCCCCAGUUCUAGUGUUUUUCAUCCCACAAGCCAACCUGCUUCCUCUAGCACCAUGUAAAACACUGAUGUGACUCCUUUGCUCUUUCAUCAUUGAUUUCCCCAAAUAAUUUUGCCAUUCUCUACUACCCAGGAUGUACAACCACCAGUCUAAGCAUCAACAGUGCUCUCCUGAUGUGCUGCAGAUAGGUUGGUACAGAGCUGAUGGAGCACAGCAGCAGUAUCGUCACCUUGUUGGCUCUCCAGCCAUGAUCUCCAGCAAAGGAGACGGGUAACAGAGUCAUCCAACUAAUUUUGUUACGUACCACAGCUGCGUGCUGAGCUAAGGCCAGAAAGCUUUUUGCCUUCUCUAUCCUUGGGUCACUAAGAAAUUUCCUAUAAAUGGUGGGAGAAGGGCAACACGAGAAGCCAGGCCAGGUCUACCAUGGUAUAUGUUAUGUUAGGGGAAAGUUUGUGUCUGAAUGCAGAGUCUAAGAGAAGCAGGCAAAAAGUUGAUUUUAUCAAGUGUAAGGAAAGCUUGAAAAUACAAGCCUGUUAGCACCUCACAAAGUCAGUACAACACCUGCAAGAGUAUAGAAGAGGAGAUAAACAAACUGGAAAGGAAGCCUUGUUAGCACAUUGGUAAAAAAUAUGGUAAUGGAAAAAAAAAUCUCAUGUGGAGUUGUAUGCAAUGAUUGUGGCAAGAGAAAUCAUUAUAUCAAAGCCUGCAGACAAGAAAAGACAAGAAAAAAAUAUACACUCUGUUAAGUGAACAGUGAUUCAGACACAGAGACUGUGCAAGUAUCUGACAUUACCCCAGCAAAACUGCAAAAAAUUGUUUACCUUAAGCUAUCUUCAGAUGCAAGAACUGGCCCCACGCAGCCCCCUGGGAAGCAGCACACUGCGGAGGAGCCUCGGCACGUUACCUGCAGGGAAUUUGAGUAACUUCCCCAGGAGUUACCAUUAAUGACAAGAUUUGCAUCACAUUAUUAAACUAAUAUUGCUGAGAAUGAUGUGACCAGAAUAACUAUUCAUGCCUCAUGGCCAUAAGUUAUUUAUGCUGACCCCACCUCUAUCCCUCCCCCUGUACUGCCUCAUCUGUGCUGACAUUUCUUCAUGAAUAUUUAAGUGACUCUUGCCUGGAGAGCGCUCCCUGCAUUUGAAAAGCUCUCCUUGCAUAUAACCCCCCGGAAACACCACUGUGAGUAGCUUUACCUGUUACACAAAUUACACCAGCUUGUUGCAAGACUUGGAGAGUUUUCAUCACCACUGGCAGUAUCAGAGAAACGCCACCGUAAUUUUAGCUGCAGGCAAAGUCACCCGGCUACUGCCCUUGGGCUAUGUUGGGACACAGGCAGGAGCCAUGCAGGUGACAGCCACACUGAGAGUGGGGACAUCCUUGUGUGCCAUUGUGACCAUGGGCUCUGGCUGUAAUGUUACUGUCUGUUCAGAACAUCCUCUAAAUAAAAUCCUGUGUAUUGUUCACAAUUUUUACAUCUGGGGACUCUCCCAGGGAACCUCCCAUUAUGCCUUUGGUAGAAAAUAAAUACUGUAAGUGCUCCUAAGAGUAUUAAUGAUAUAACACCUCUGUUGUGCAAACCCAUUAAUAUUCUCUCACAUUAAGUUUGGCUUUUGCUAUAUUCAGAUGCUGGACAAAGCAGACAUUCUCCAGGGUGCUUCAUAUGUGUAUUCAGGAGCUAAACAAUAACCUGCAUCAUUUCUGUCGUUGCAAAUAUUAAUUUCAAUGUAUUUGAGAAAUCAUGAUCUUCAAAACAUACAAACAAAAGUUAGGGGGGUUUUGUGGUUAUAUAGUUGAAAUAUGCAUGUAGAAAUAACUGGAAAGUGUUCUGGUGGAUGGUCUCAGCUUGUCUCCCUUUUAAAGGGAAAUAGCGAAGGAACUAAAGGCCAGUUUGAACCUGCAGAGGAUCUAACGAGAUGUUGGCACUCAACACUAGAGUUUGCAAAACAGUAUGUUCUGUUUAACUUAAAAAAAUAUUCAUUGCAGACAGUGAUACAGUGAACUUGCCAGAUGAGAAGGAGAUUCCUUUACCCAAACAGUGAUCAGACAUCAGAACAGGCAACCUCCUCGCCUUCAGCGUGUUUUAUUCACAGCACAGUCUGCAAAUCCUCUGUGCUGCUUUGCUGGCAUAAAGAGCCAUCAAGUGAUGAAGAGCUUCAGGAGAGGCCAAGUGAGGCAUGCUGUGGCAUUUCAGAGCCUCUCCCCGUUGCUCACCAGUCCCCGGGCAGCAGCAAAGCUGGGCACUGCAGACGCCUGGCUCUGCUCCAGCUCAGCCUUUGCUGGCACCCUGCACCAUACAGCAAGUGAGAGCUGGUGCCAAAUGCACUAUAGCACAACCUGCUGUUCUCUUGUUCUCUCCAUUACAACUGAGAUGUUUGAAACGUAUCCCUGCUUUUGUUCACCGGCAUGUUGGCAACAAGGUACGGAAUCUAGGAGAGCAUCACAUGGGGCGUAACGACAGGGUAAAUGUUAUUUUCGUGACCAGCUGGGUAGAUGAAGGGAGAGCAGUGGGUAUUUUUUACCUUGACUUCAGCAAGACUUUUGACACUGUCUCCCAUAACACCCUCAUAGGAACCUUAGGAAGUGUGGCUUAGGUGAGAGGACAGUGAGGUGGAUUGUGAACUGACUGAACAGCAGAGCUCAGAGGGUCAUGAUCAACGGCACAGAGUUUAGUUAGAGGCCCAUAACUAGUGGUGCUCCCAGGGGUCUGUGCUGGGUCCAGUCCUGUUCAACAUAGUCAUCAACGGCCUGGAUGAUGGCACAGAGUGUAACCUCAGCAAGGUCACUGACGAUACCAAGCGGGGAGGAGCGGCUGAUACACCAGAAGGCUGUGCUGCCGUCCAACGAGACCUGGACAGGCUGGAGAGCUGGGCCGAGGGGAACCUCAUGAAAUUCAACAAAAGCAAGUGCAAGGUCCCGCACCUGGGGAGGAACAACCCCCCACACCAGGACAGGCUGGGGGCUGACCUGCUGGAAAGCAGCUCUGCUGAGAAGGACCUGGGAGUGCUGGUGGGCAGAAAGGUGACCCUGAGCCAGCACCGUGCCCUUGUGCCCAAGAAGGCCAACGGUGUCCUGGGGUGCAUAAAAAGGAGUGUGGCCGGCAGAUCGAGAGAGGUUAUCCUCCCCCUCCACUCUGCCCUAGUGACACCACAGCUGGAGUGCUGUGUCUAGUUCUGGGCUUAAGCAAGUCCAGCGGAGAGCUACCAAGAUGAUCAGGGGACUGUAGCAUCUCCCUUAUGAGGAAAGGCUGAGAGACCUGGGUUUGUUCAGCCUGGGGAAGAGAAGGCUGAGGGGGGAUCUUAUC